AAAUGUCAAUGACUUUUUCAGAAUGUCAUGGAAUACACGAACUUGGAAAGAAACCAAAAGAAAAUUGGACUUUAAGAGAUAAUCGUUAUGUAAAAAAA
ensembl:ncRNA F41E7.12 ncRNA